rnacentral:rRNA from 1 species
AUUGAACGCUGGCGGCAGGCUUAACACAUGCAAGUCGAGCGGUAGAGGGGAGCUUGCUUCCCUUGAGAGCGGCGGACGGGUGAGUAAUGCCUAGGAAUCUGCCUGGUAGUGGGGGACAACGUUCGGAAACGGACGCUAAUACCGCAUACGUCCUACGGGAGAAAGUGGGGGAUCUUCGGACCUCACGCUAUCAGAUGAGCCUAGGUCGGAUUAGCUAGUUGGUAGGGUAAAGGCCUACCAAGGCGACGAUCCGUAACUGGUCUGAGAGGAUGAUCAGUCACACUGGAACUGAGACACGGUCCAGACUCCUACGGGAGGCAGCAGUGGGGAAUAUUGGACAAUGGGCGCAAGCCUGAUCCAGCCAUGCCGCGUGUGUGAAGAAGGUCUUCGGAUUGUAAAGCACUUUAAGUUGGGAGGAAGUUCAGUAAGUUAAUACCUUGUUGAAUUGACGUUACCGACAGAAUAAGCACCGGCUAACUCUGUGCCAGCCGCCGCGGUAA